rnacentral:sRNA from 1 species
CCUAGCAACCCAGGAGCACUGAGUGCAGAGGUGGAGCUCUGCACAGAAGAAACUGCCUGCCCCUAGACUACUUUGAACAAGCCACAAGAAAUUCGGGUUUUUCUGUGGUUUGGUGUGGCUCCCUCCGGCUGCGCAGGGAUCUUCCUGAUUUAUUUACCUUGUUUUGUGGGGAUCAAGACCUCUCUGAUCAAAGCACUCGUGGAAAUUAAAUAGCGAGCAGAGAAACAGCUCUUUCAGGAUGGAGGGGUAGGCAUUGAGAGACAAGAAAGGAUGUUAGGAAGCGGCAUCGCCUUGGCAAUCAAACACGUUCUUUAGUUUUGGCCAAAAGAACAAGGGUAGAGAGGGUGUGUCCGGAAUGGUGUAGGGACGCAGGAAAGUCCAGGACUCUUCCUAGAUUAAACCCUCCUUCUUCUCUAACACGGUAGCGUGAGCAGAGAUAUCCCUUAUACCCUCCUCCUCUUUUUGGCCCAUUCAUCAGUUGGGGGUGAAGUAUUUUCCCCAACUUGAGUGAUAACUUGAAACCAGGUUGCGUUCAUAGCUUCUCCUGGGAUGCUGUGCCCUUAGUCAAAGGAGACCCUCUACAAGUUCCGCGGAGGUCCCAGAUCCUCCCUCUCGGGGUACUUCAAGGAAGCGGAUCACGCACACCCCUUGGGCGUGAUCUCUUAGCCAAGAAUCAGGGAUUCAGAGGAUAGGAGGAGCUGAAUCAGCACACCAAGAAAGUGGGGCAAGUUUUGGGUAUUCUGACCACAAGCCUUUGUAUGGAUUCUGCUGGGACUUUGACUGAGAAUGUGUACAGAAAAUCACACAAGUAUUUCUGCAUCUUUGUUUUUCGAGAUGUUGGGACAAAGCUAGGUCCUAUAUAGAGCGUGGGAAAAGGUUUGCUGGAGAUUACUCGGACUUAAGGGUUCCCGAGGCAGGUGUCUUGCUGACAUUCUGAGAAGACCUGGUUCUCUCUGCAGCUUUUCCACCAACUCCUCCCUAGGAGGCUCCUACAGGCGUCUGAUUUCUCUGCUCUCAGUUCAUUCUAACAAUGGACUUGCACUGGAGAAAGACAGAGAUGUGUUGGUCAUAUGCUUUGUGCAUGAGCGUGCAUGCGUGCGUGCGUACGUGCGUGCGUGCGUGUGUGCGCCCAUGCUUUACAAAGGAAAACUUUAAAGCCAAGAGAAGGCAAGUCACUAUCCUAGGCUCACCCAACCAAUGAAGGGCAGAGGUUGGAGUCUCAUCAGACUUGGGCUGGCUUUCAAAUUGAAACUCUGUGUGGGUUAGGUACAUAGUCACAUAGCUACUGCAGCUUUAGACUGCCCACUCCUCAGUCCAUAGCUGCAAUUUCAUACUUAGACUCUUUUUUGUUUUUCUUAGAGAGACUGGCAUGCCCACAAAUGUACAAGCUCUGGAGGAGGGGCAGCCAUUCAUCUGCGUAUGCCUAUGACUCAGGGGUUUCCAGGAAAGCAAGACUUUCAAUACUGACAUCAGGCAAGUCUCAGGGAGAAUAGAAGACAGAUGAGGAUGCGAGGUAGAAGCUACCAUCCCUCUCAUUGCCAGAGCCAUGAAGACUUGUGGGCUGACCCUGGAUCAUAGUGACUCUGAAGGUUGGUUGCACCUUUGGAACGAGGGCUUGGAAUUCUGUAAU